GACGAACGCUGGCGGCGUGCUUAACGCAUGCAAGUCGAACGAGGUCCAUCCAGCUUGCUGGUGAAGACCGAGUGGCGAACGGGUGAGUAACACGUGAGGAACCCACCCCGGAGACCGGGAUAACCCUCCGAAAGGAGAGCUAAUACCGGAUGCCCUCAUCGGAUCGCAUGUUCUGAUGAGGAAAUGGAUUCCGCCCCGGGACGGCCUCGCGGCCUAUCAGCUUGUUGGUGGGGUAACGGCCCACCAAGGCGUCGACGGGUAGCUGGUCUGAGAGGACGGUCAGCCACACUGGGACUGAGACACGGCCCAGACUCCUACGGGAGGCAGCAGCGGGGAAUAUUGCGCAAUGGGCGAAAGCCUGACGCAGCAACGCCGCGUGAGGGAUGAAGGCUUUCGGGUUGUAAACCUCUUUCAGCAGGGACGAUUGUGACGGUACCUGCAGAAGAAGCCCCGGCCAACUACGUGCCAGCAGCCGCAGUAAUAC
rnacentral:rRNA from 1 species